CAAUCCAUAAUCCAUAACAACACUUCAUCCAUUGAAAAGGUCCAUUUUGUCCUCUCACAUUAAAAUCCAUUGACAUUUUUCAAUGGUUUGAAGAUAAAAACAUCUUCAUGAUGAAUUUGUUUAUUACAAAAAGCAGCUUUUCACUUCAAUACGUUAAUUGAUGGACUGGAGUCGAGUGGAUUACUUGUGGAUUAUUGUGAUGUUUUUAUCAGCUGUUUGAACUCUCAUUCUGACCCAUUCACUGCAGAUGAUCCAAUUGUGAGCAAGUGUUGUAAUGCUAAAUUUAUCAAAAUCCAUUUUAAAGAAAAAACAAACUCAUCUACAUCUUGGAUGGUUUGAGCUGGCAUGCAUGCACUACCAUUCUUUGGCCUUACAGGGCCAAAUUACAUGACACCCUGGACUCACCGGAUACACUAGCAGAGAACAAAAUCUUGGUGAAAUUGGAACAUUUCUGCAUAUCAGCUCUCUGUGUUUGUCUGUCUAAUUUUUAUUUCACCUGGAGCACAACUAAGAAUCUUAUGUUGUUAUUAAUACCAGUUAUCACUAUUAAUCUCAGUUAGAACAGAUCCAGUGUAUGCAUUUCUGCAAACUUUGAGUUUUUUCAUUCUCUACUUGGAUUGGAUUUACAUGGAUGCCGUGGCUGGUGCUGAUUUGGCAGGAAUCACAGAAUGCAGAACCAACAGAGAGGAAGAUGGAUUUACACUGUAUUAACAUUUAAAAUGGUGCACUUUAAUACUUCAUUUAAAGACUAGAAUGUGCUCUGGGGAAAAAGUACACUAAUAGAAAUAGGACAUGGC
ensembl:lncRNA